UACGUAUGGUGCAAGCGUUAUCCGGAUUUACUGGGUGUAAAGGGAGCGCAGGCGGCACGGCAAGCCUGAUGUGAAAGCCCGCGGCCCAACCGCGGGACUGCACUGGGAACUACCGGGCUGGAGUGCCGGAGAGGUAGGCGGAAUUCCUAGUGUAGCGGUGAAAUGCGUAGAUAUUAGGAGGAACACCAGUGGCGAAGGCGGCCUACUGGACGGUGACCGACGCUGAGGCUCGAAAGCGUGGGGAGCAAACAGG
rnacentral:rRNA from 1 species